AUUGAACGCUGGCGGCAGGCCUAACACAUGCAAGUCGAACGAGUGGCGGACGGGUGAGUAAUGUCUGGGAACCUGCCUGAUGGAGGGGGAUAACUACUGGAAACGGUAGCUAAUACCGCAUACCAUCGGAUGUGCCCAGAUGGGAUUAGCUAGUAGGUGGGGUAAAGGCUCACCUAGGCGAAGAUCCCUAGCUGGUCUGAGAGGCUGACCAGACACCGUGGAACUGAGACACGGUCCAGACUCCGACGGGAGGCAGCAGUGGGGAAUAUUGCACAAUGGGCGCAAGCCUGAUGCAGCCAUGGCGCGUGUAUGAAGAAGGCCCUCGGGUUGUAAAGUACUUUCAGCGGGGAGGCGUUACCCGCAGAAGAAGCACCUGCUAACUCCGUGCCAGCAGCCGCGGUAC
rnacentral:rRNA from 1 species